UCGGAUAUUCGAGUAAGACAACUCGUAUCCUAACAGUCGGGAAAGGGAAUAGAAGACUCUAGACCGCUUUCUGUUUCAUCUGAGUAAUUAUGAAAAGGAUUGGAUAAUAAUUAAGGUGUUUUGAACGGAUGACGAUUACUCGGAUGGUCGAGUAAGACAACUCGUAUCCUAAUAGUCGGGAAGAGGAAUAGAAGACUCUAAACCACUCUCUG
rnacentral:lncRNA from 1 species